UGGGUUGUAGCUCAGUGAUAGAGCACUUGCCUACCACGCAAGAAGCAAUGGAUUCGAUCCUCAGCAUUGCAU
rnacentral:tRNA from 1 species